CUGCCUUUGUUCAUGAGCUUACACAACGGACGAACAGUUACUUCAGGAUUUUUCAGGAUCAGAGCUUCAUGACAGAGCCAGCUGCUCUGGACCACUUUGCUUGUGCAAACAAACAUCAGUUCCUGGGGCCUCGGGUAUGAAAGGCGAGGGAUAAAUGGUGGCCAGGCAGCCAUGUCAGCAGAGAGGAGGGUCGGUCUGCACUGCAGACAGAAUCUGCUCACCGCUUCCCCUCAGCUGGCCCAGUCUGGUUUAGACCCCAUCACAGCUUCCCCUCAACUGAAGUCGGUUUGGUUUAAACCCCAUCUCUGAUUUGUCAGUCCGGUUUAGACCCCAUCACAGUUUCCACUCAAGUGGAGUCAUUCUGGUUUGAAUCCUAUCACAUAUUUCCUUCAUGUGGGUCAGUUUGGUUUAGACCCCAUACAGCUUCCCCUCAGCUGGGUAAAUUUGGUUUAAACCCCAUCACAGCUGAGUCAGUCUGGUUUCAUCUCCAUCACAGUUUCUCAUCUGGGUCAGCCUGGUCUGAGUGAGUCUGGUUUGAAACCCACUACAGGUUCUCCUCAUCUGGGACAGUCUGGCUGGAGUGUGUCUGCCUUAAAGCAUCUACCAGCUUCUCCUCAUCUGGGUCAGUCUGGUCUUAAUUAGCCUGGAUAAAGUAUUCUCACAGCCCACCUCGGCCGAGUCAGUCUGGUCUUAAUUAGUCUGCUGUAAACCUCAUGACAGCUUCUCUUGCGCCUGAAUCGGUCUGGUUCUCCGAGGUUACUGAUCCGCCGUGGUUUUGGCCGCUGCGUUUCUCGUCUCAGAGGACCGUCUCUCUCUCUUUACUGCAGUACAGUGAUCAUAGGUCCUCCGUCGACGGCCGUUCAGAUGGAUACUGAUUACUGAUAAACACAAACAAAAAUGUAUUAAGAAUAUACGGGCUUAUCCCAUUGGGUAAGCUUCUAUACAGCUUACACUCGAUAUGGGGUGUUGAUACCAACUAAUUCUUGGUGUUCAGACCAGCUCCCCAUCUGCUCUGAAUUCUACUCUUGAAGCAUUUUUUGUUUUCACCUGUUUAUCAUAAAAUAUUUAAAAAAAUUUAUGAUGCAGAGAAACCAGUACAGUCAACAGCACAAUCUUGUCUACGCACGUCAGAAUUGUUGGCACGGAGCUGCACAUCAUUGGAUCGCAGUUCAAAGUCAAGCCCUGAAAAACAUCUUUGAACGCAGAAUUAAUUUAUUUUUUUUAGAUAGAUUUUUGUGAAAAAACCAAGGCUUCCACGUGUGCUAGUGCAUUGUAAGCCGUUUGAGAUAAACAGUUCACCACAAGCGAUGCUUUUCCAGCCAAAGUGAACUAAUCGCCUUUAUGAGAAGAGCGUUUUUUUUUUGAGAGCAAGGUAAGAACAAACCUUUGUUUGUGGCUGUUCAGAUCUUCUGAUGAUCUCGCUUUAAAAUUUUGAUGUGGUUCCAGAAUGACAGCCGCCAGAUCCCACCCCCUCCACCCCCACGGGGCGCGUCACCCGCUGACCGAGUGUUGCUGUACAUUUUUGUCUGGGGCGGGAGGAGGGGGGAGGGGGGAGUGGAUGCUGAACGAGGUAGAAAGGCCUUCAUAAAGGCCGACCUGGCAGCAAGUACAUGUGACUCGUGGAGCCAAGGAACACAGCUCUGGGCGGCAGCUGCUGACACAGCAUUGGUGAGGUAGGUUGGGCACAAAAUGGAGGUCAGGAGGGGUUUCUUCUGAGGGGGGGGGGCUUGAGCUUGCAGCCCAAUCCUGAUCACGUGGGCGAGCGAGGGAACAGACGUUUCUGUAUGGAAAAGCACAUAAAACUCCGGCAUCACUGGGACUUUGGAAUGAGAGGUUCUUACUGUGGCUGCUGGCAGGGGGGGGGGGUCUCUUGAGUCUCCAGGUUGGGGAGACAGAUCUGGGCAUUGGGGGCACUGCAAACCACGCUAACCCUCCCCAACUGUUCAGGAUAGGAAGCCUUCUUGGGUUGCAGACAUUAUUCCUGGUUGCUGUGUUCCCUUUAGUGUCUGAAUCUCCCUGAUUUGUAUCUCUGCAGACAGAACAAUGCAGUCCUCAUAGAUCAGACGGCCUCAGUAGAUUUAGGAAUCUUCCGUCUCUUGCCGUGUUCCCGAUGCACAUUCUCCUGGUCGUGCUCUCUGUGCAUGUAUUCCGUCCUUAAGCUCACGAAUGCGUCAACGUUGGAGGCUGGGAUGCUUCCUGUCACACGAGAGGCCCCGAGUCGAGCUGUGAGCUCCCUGGCCAGGUGGUGAAGGAGGAGUGAGGGCAUUCAUCCCUCGGGGCCGAGGAAGACUGGAACCGGAAUAAUCAGUGACGUUCGGUGGGCAAUUAGCAGCUCAUCAGAUGUUAAACAGGACAUGCUGUGGAUUUCUGAGGGCUGUUUGUUUUUUGUUUUUUUCCCAAGUGGCAGGAAAUGUUUUCGCUUGUUCUUAUGUCUCCUAUGUUUUUGUCUUUCUCUUGGUGGAGUUUUCAGUCCUCGUUUGGUUUCUCAUCCCCAAAACUUUGUGAUUUUUCACUCGAGCAGCGAAUGUAUUUGUCUCCACGGCUUCCAAAGGAGAGAGAGCCACCACAAUAUGGUGACUUAAUGAGCGGAAAACAUCACGGACUGCAAUCAUCCUUCAUGUUUUUUUUUAUCACCGUGCCGAGCUGGGGAAAGAGGAAAGCUUGACUCAGGUGGUCAGGACCAGUGGGGGAUGACAGGUUGCGUUGAAGACCAUCCUCUGGUUCAAGACCUUCCUUUAUGAAACCCAAUGUUGUUGCACUUUCCCUUGGUUUGUCAGGCUCGUCUCUCAUGGUCCCUCCAGAAAUAUGUUUCCUUUGGACACGUGCCCGAUGGGUCACUGUCCCGUAAAUGGGUGCAGACGUGUCCCUGAAAUGCCGCAAAGCGUCUCCAGGACCUGCCAGCGGCCCCCUCCCCUCCCUCUUCCGCUUGCUGGGCAGCUACAGCCCCGUGUAAUUACUAUAAAUGGAAGGUUUCUUUGCUCAGAAAUGCCUUUUUGGUUUCUUUUGUAUUUUCAUGACUUUGUCAGUGGUAUUUAUGUUCCCCGCUUUUGUGGAAUCGCUGUCGUGAAGGCGGACGCUCUCAUGCUUGUCUGGAGGCAGCCUGGGUCCCAUGUGCCCCAGUCCUCUGGGUGUGCUGGGCCCCUCCUCGGAUGGAACCAUUAUUACAGUAAAAAAAAGACCCUUCGCCCUGGAGGCGUAGGAGAGGCACUGACUCCGGCCCUUGUUUUUGCAGGUCUAUUGCAUGCCAGCAUGUUUUUAAAGUCUGCAAGAUGCAGGCAUCGUUGCCUCUUGCUGAGAGAAGACGUGCUUCUCCAAGCGACCAUCACGGCCUCCUUGAUCACCGCACCGACUGACCGUUUGCUUGGGCUGCGGCACAUUGUCGACAUUUAUCAUCUCGGUGCUGCCUUAUGCAUUUAAACUGCUCAACUAUGCAGUACGUCCCAUUGAAAGCGCUUGCAAGCUGCCAGGUUCCAACUGCAAUGGGUGAGAUGAUGUUCCACUGGCUGCUAACUGUCUCGGCGGAAGGACACGUCUUUGAGACGUGGCGCUAAAAUAGUUCCAGGCUAAUUUAGCACAUGUAUUGCGGUUGGUUUUGGAUCUGUGUCCACACUUGGAAAGUCGUUGGUUCACGGUCCUUAAGCCUAACUGCUCCAGGUGCUGUGGGAUCUGGCUGACCCAGUUGUCAGCAUUUCCACUCUUGUGUGAUCCUUUGGCCACAAGCGCACCCUAAAUAGAGGUAACGUCAUGCUAGCAUUAUGCUAAAGUCUCGCUAGCUUCCUGCUAACGUUGCGCCGCCUUGCGCUGACUUUAUUGAAAGGGAGCUGGAUGCAGGACUGGAGCGUCUGAGCUCACUGCUAGGCCAACGAGCCUGGAACUGAGCAGACGCUGGAAAGUCGGACAAAGCCUGCCCCUUCCAGCAUGGCCCCACGCAACAGCCCAUUCCGCUCGCUUCCAGCUCUCGCCAGGUGUUUGCGGCUGGAGAUCAACCCUUGCAGCUGGGGAGCAUUAAAGCGAUCCCAGAAUAACGGGAAUAGCAGACACGGGCUGCCCACCAGUGUGUCAGCGCCGUGAGGUGCCACUAAUUACAUUAAUUCUGAAUGUCUGCAGAGCAAGGGAUAAUUUACUGAUGGAGCUAAGUGUGUGCGGUGGGUGGGGGGGGGCUAUUUUUAACAUCAUGUGUGUCCAUAAAUCAUUGCACAUUGUUGGUAAAUUUGAACACAGAUAUCAGACUGUUUAUUAAAUUGGAAAUAUACGAGAGAAGCAUCAAAGGCUGGGGGAGGAAAAGUCUGGAAAGUUCUUUAGCUGCGUUGUCUGACUUUCCUGGACCAGCAGGACUUGGGACGGGCCUGAUCUGCAUGAGCAAGGGCAGCGGUCUCCACGGCAACUUAUGAGAGGUCGCUGUCCGUGAGUUGUCAUGUGUUGCAGGAAAAACAUGAUUCAUUUGGGGAGGGGGGGGGGUAUUUCAUUUCAGUGAGAUCUCAUGAAAUAAAUAUUUUGCCCUGGACUCAAGACUCGGAUUAGGUGUAACCACCGUUGGUCUUACGCACUAAGGAUUCACAGGAUUAAAUGAAAGCUCACUGACUGCGUUUCUGCGUGGACGACAUUUGGCCUGUGAUCUGCUCCCCGCGUCUCGUCUCUGAUUGGAGGACGGAGAUUCUGCUGUUGCAUUAAACUGCUGGUUUGCUGCUGAUUGUUGGAUGUGGGAUGAAAAAAAAGAAAAGAAAAGAAGAGAAACAUGGAAGGGAAAAAUGCGUAAUAGUGAGAGAGAGAGAGACAGAGAGAAAGAUAGAGAGAGA